AAAUUGAAGAGUUUGAUCAUGGCUCAGAUUGAACGCUGGCGGCAGGCCUAACACAUGCAAGUCGAACGGUAACAGAAAGCAGCUUGCUGCUUUGCUGACGAGUGGCGGACGGGUGAGUAAUGUCUGGGAAACUGCCUGAUGGAGGGGGAUAACUACUGGAAACGGUGGCUAAUACCGCAUAACGUCGCAAGACCAAAGAGGGGGACCUUCGGGCCUCUUGCCAUCAGAUGUGCCCAGAUGGGAUUAGCUAGUUGGUGAGGUAACGGCUCACCAAGGCGACGAUCCCUAGCUGGUCUGAGAGGAUGACCAGCCACACUGGAACUGAGACACGGUCCAGACUCCUACGGGAGGCAGCAGUGGGGAAUAUUGCACAAUGGGCGCAAGCCUGAUGCAGCCAUGCCGCGUGUAUGAAGAAGGCCUUCGGGUUGUAAAGUACUUUCAGCGGGGAGGAAGGUGUUGUGGUUAAUAACCGCAGCAAUUGACGUUACCCGCAGAAGAAGCACCGGCUAACUCCGUGCCAGCAGCCGCGGUAAUACGGAGGGUGCAAGCGUUAAUCGGAAUUACUGGGCGUAAAGCGCACG
rnacentral:rRNA from 1 species